GAUGAACGCUGGCGGCGUGCCUAAUACAUGCAAGUCGAGCGAACGGACGAGAAGCUUGCUUCUCUGAUGUUAGCGGCGGACGGGUGAGUAACACGUGGAUAACCUACCUAUAAGACUGGGAUAACUUCGGGAAACCGGAGCUAAUACCGGAUAAUAUUUUGAACCGCAUGGUUCAAAAGUGAAAGACGGUCUUGCUGUCACUUAUAGAUGGAUCCGCGCUGCAUUAGCUAGUUGGUAAGGUAACGGCUUACCAAGGCAACGAUGCAUAGCCGACCUGAGAGGGUGAUCGGCCACACUGGAACUGAGACACGGUCCAGACUCCUACGGGAGGCAGCAGUAGGGAAUCUUCCGCAAUGGGCGAAAGCCUGACGGAGCAACGCCGCGUGAGUGAUGAAGGUCUUCGGAUCGUAAAACUCUGUUAUUAGGGAAGAACAUAUGUGUAAGUAACUGUGCACAUCUUGACGGUACCUAAUCAGAAAGCCACGGCUAACUACGUGCCAGCAGCCGCGGUAAUACGUAGGUGGCAAGCGUUAUCCGGAAUUAUUGGGCGUAAAGCGCGCGUAGGCGGUUUUUUAAGUCUGAUGUGAAAGCCCACGGCUCAACCGUGGAGGGUCAUUGGAAACUGGAAAACUUGAGUGCAGAAGAGGAAAGUGGAAUUCCAUGUGUAGCGGUGAAAUGCGCAGAGAUAUGGAGGAACACCAGUGGCGAAGGCGACUUUCUGGUCUGUAACUGACGCUGAUGUGCGAAAGCGUGGGGAUCAAACAGGAUUAGAUACCCUGGUAGUCCACGCCGUAAACGAUGAGUGCUAAGUGUUAGGGGGUUUCCGCCCCUUAGUGCUGCAGCUAACGCAUUAAGCACUCCGCCUAGGGAGUACGACCGCAAGGUUGAAACUCAAAGGAAUUGACGGGGACCCGCACAAGCGGUGGAGCAUGUGGUUUAAUUCGAAGCAACGCGAAGAACCUUACCAAAUCUUGACAUCCUUUGACAACUCUAGAGAUAGAGCCUUCCCCUUCGGGGGACAAAGUGACAGGUGGUGCAUGGUUGUCGUCAGCUCGUGUCGUGAGAUGUUGGGUUAAGUCCCGCAACGAGCGCAACCCUUAAGCUUAGUUGCCAUCAUUAAGUUGGGCACUCUAAGUUGACUGCCGGUGACAAACCGGAGGAAGGUGGGGAUGACGUCAAAUCAUCAUGCCCCUUAUGAUUUGGGCUACACACGUGCUACAAUGGACAAUACAAAGGGCAGCGAAACCGCGAGGUCAAGCAAAUCCCAUAAAGUUGUUCUCAGUUCGGAUUGUAGUCUGCAACUCGACUACAUGAAGCUGGAAUCGCUAGUAAUCGUAGAUCAGCAUGCUACGGUGAAUACGUUCCCGGGUCU
rnacentral:rRNA from 1 species